GGAAUUUUGGACAAUGGGCGCAAGCCUGAUCCAGCCAUUCCGCGUGCAGGAUGAAGGCCCUCGGGUUGUAAACUGCUUUUGUACGGAACGAAACGGCCUGGGUUAAUACCUCGGGCUAAUGUCGGUACCGUAAGAAUAAGCACCGUCUAACUACGUUCCAGCAGCCGCGGUAAUACGUAGGGUGCGAGCGUUAAUCGGAAUUACUGGGCGUAAAGCGUGCGCAGGCGGUGAUGUAAGACAGGUGUGAAAUCCCCGGGCUUAACCUGGGAACUGCAUUUGUGACUGCAUUGCUGGAGUGCGGCAGAGGGGGAUGGAAUUCGGCGUGUAGCAGUGAAAUGCGUAGAUAUGCGGAGGAACACCGAUGGCGAAGGCAAUCCCCUGGGCCUGCACUGACGCUCAUGCACGGAAGCGUGGGGAGC
rnacentral:rRNA from 1 species